rnacentral:rRNA from 1 species
UUGCUUUCUUUGCUGGCGACCGGCGCACGGGUGAGUAACACGUAUCCAACCUGCCCUUUACUCGGGGAUAGCCUUUCGAAAGAAAGAUUAAUACCCGAUAGCAUAAUGAUUCCGCAUGGUUUCAUUAUUAAAGGAUUCCGGUAAAGGAUGGGGAUGCGUUCCAUUAGGUUGUUGGUGAGGUAACGGCUCACCAAGCCUUCGAUGGAUAGGGGUUCUGAGAGGAAGGUCCCCCACAUUGGAACUGAGACACGGUCCAAACUCCUACGGGAGGCAGCAUG